GGUCUGGCUCGCUCUCCCAUCCCCGGGCAGACAGCUGCACGGGUGGCCUCGUGGUCCAUGGCCUCCGGCUGGGCCGGGGAAAGCCGUUUCGCGGAGCACGCCCGGCGGGUAAGAUGCUUCUGGAAGGUUCCCUCAAGGAGGACAGCUGCCCCCUGUGCCUGGUGUUCCUGACUCUGAGCCAGGGCCGGGAGGGAGCCCCUCCCCUCCCUGAAUGCUGGGGACGUCCCUGUCACAGGGUCUGCUGGAGGCUGCAGACUUCCCGAGGCCUCGUCUUCACCAGCCUGAGCCAGGGAGUUGGUCGGACGGGAGAGGGACAGAGGGGAAAGCAGGGAGGGACGCCAGGGAGGAGCCCCCGUGCCUCUGAGUGUGGCUUCUGGGGGCCCGGGCGGACCCCCACUCCCCACCGCAGGACAGGGAGGCGGUGCCACCUGGCCCUGGACCACCGAGGCCAAGGUCUCACAGGAAGCUCAGCCUCCAGCCCCUGCAGAUCCGCACGGCAGCCGCAGACAUCCUGAGGACGACGCGUCCUGGGGUCCCAGCUGCACGAGGCUCAGGACAGAGCUGGGGGUGUCAGCGACAAUAUUUCCCUCGCUCGUACAUUCCUUGGUAAUAAAAACACAAGCGGAA
ensembl:lncRNA novel transcript